CUGCGGCAGCGACGCUGAUGCGUUGUUGGGUAGGGGAGCGUUCUGUAAGCCUGUGAAGGUGGCCUGUGAGGGUUGCUGGAGGUAUCAGAAGUGCGAAUGCUGACAUAAGUAACGAUAAAGCGGGUGAAAAGCCCGCUCGCCGGAAGACCAAGGGUUCCUGUCCAACGUUAAUCGGGGCAGGGUGAGUCGACCCCUAAGGCGAGGCCGAAAGGCGUAGUCGAUGGGAAACGGGUUAAUAUUCCCGUACUUGGUGUUACUGCGAAGGGGGGACGGAGAAGGCUAUGUUGGCCGGGCGACGGUUGUCCCGGUUUAAGCGUGUAGGUGUGUGUUCCAGGUAAAUCCGGUUCACUUUAACACUGAGGCGUGAUGACGAGGCACUACGGUGCUGAAGCAACAAAUGCCCUGCUUCCAGGAAAAGCCUCUAAGCAUCAGGUAACAUCAAAUCGUACCCCAAACCGACACAGGUGGUCAGGUAGAGAAUACCAAGGCGCUUGAGAGAACUCGGGUGAAGGAACUAGGCAAAAUGGUGCCGUAACUUCGGGAGAAGGCACGCUGACAUGUAGGUGAAGUGAUUUACUCACGGAGCUGAAGUCAGUCGAAGAUACCAGCUGGCUGCAACUGUUUAUUAAAAACACAGCACUGUGCAAACACGAAAGUGGACGUAUACGGUGUGACGCCUGCCCGGUGCCGGAAGGUUAAUUGAUGGGGUCAGCGCAAGCGAAGCUCCUGAUCGAAGCCCCGGUAAACGGCGGCCGUAACUAUAACGGUCCUAAGGUAGCGAAAUUCCUUGUCGGGUAAGUUCCGACCUGCACGAAUGGCGUAAUGAUGGCCAGGCUGUCUCCACCCGAGACUCAGUGAAAUUGAACUCGCUGUGAAGAUGCAGUGUACCCGCGGCAAGACGGAAAGACCCCGUGAACCUUUACUAUAGCUUGACACUGAACAUUGAGCCUUGAUGUGUAGGAUAGGUGGGAGGCUUUGAAGUGUGGACGCCAGUCUGCAUGGAGCCGGCCUUGAAAUACCACCCUUUAAUGUUUGAUGUUCUAACGUGGACCCGUGAUCCGGGUUGCGGACAGUGUCUGGUGGGUAGUUUGACUGGGGCGGUCUCCUCCUAAAGAGUAACGGAGGAGCACGAAGGUUGGCUAAUCCUGGUCGGACAUCAGGAGGUUAGUGCAAUGGCAUAAGCCAGCUUGACUGCGAGCGUGACGGCGCGAGCAGGUGCGAAAGCAGGUCAUAGUGAUCCGGUGGUUCUGAAUGGAAGGGCCAUCGCUCAACGGAUAAAAGGUACUCCGGGGAUAACAGGCUGAUACCGCCCAAGAGUUCAUAUCGACGGCGGUGUUUGGCACCUCGAUGUCGGCUCAUCACAUCCUGGGGCUGAAGUAGGUCCCAAGGGUAUGGCUGUUCGCCAUUUAAAGUGGUACGCGAGCUGGGUUUAGAACGUCGUGAGACAGUUCGGUCCCUAUCUGCCGUGGGCGCUGGAGAACUGAGGGGGGCUGCUCCUAGUACGAGAGGACCGGAGUGGACGCAUCACUGGUGUUCGGGUUGUCAUGCCAAUGGCACUGCCCGGUAGCUAAAUGCGGAAGAGAUAAGUGCUGAAAGCAUCUAAGCACGAAACUUGCCCCGAGAUGAGUUCUCCCUGAGACUUUA
rnacentral:rRNA from 1 species